CGCUGCCGCCGCCGGUGCGAGGAGCGAAGUAGAGGCAGGAACUUCUCCUCCGGGAGCUGGGCGCGCCGCGGGGACAAAGUCCUCGGGGGCUGCGGCGCUCCGCACCCGCGGGCAGAUUGCCAACGCUAAGAAAACAGAGACUUCCAGCAAAAAAUUCUUCAGUUCAUGGAGCAACAAGGGCAGUGUUAGGAAUACAUCCCACCCUUGUGCUUCUGCUCCAGGAUGCAGUGAGAAGAAAGGCAUGCAGAGAGCAAAUAAUUAUGCAAGAAACUGUUACAGCGAAGAAAAAAACAGUUAUUGGAUCCAAAGCUAUUUUUCAUGCCUUGGCACAAAAGGAAUAAAGGAAUGUAACAGAAGCUGCUCCUGCUAGUCUGGGUGGGCAGAAGAACUUGAGGUCCAAGGAUGCGAGUGGGAGAGAGCCUACACAGAACCCAGGAUGAAAGCAUGGCCCAUCUGGCUGUCUCUAGGCAUCAGCUGGGAUGUCCUCUCCUGCUAGGCAAGGUUUGUAGAACAUAGC
ensembl:lncRNA